rnacentral:lncRNA from 1 species
AAAAUCAUCUCUGACGGUGUUGAGGAAAGGUGAGCAGGGGACUGGCCACCCUAUAUUAGGUUUGUAAAAUUUUAAUAUUAUUCCUUUUAAUUUGUGAAGUCAAUAUUUUCUUUUCUCUGUGCUGGGAAAGGCUGCGCCGUGGGGGCCGACUCAGGGUCCUCUCCUCGCUGGGAGGCCAUGGCCUCUUAUGUCUUAUUCACUGGCCUCCUGGCAGACUCAUAAUGAGCCCACGGACCUGCUGUGGAAUGAAGCCAAAGCUGUGAGUGUGUCUGGGUGACUUAUUCUCCUCUCCCAGUGCCAGGGAACUUUGGUCUCUCAGUCACUCAUGGAUUCAGCAGAUACUUCGGAGCAGCUGUUAUGGACCAGGUGCUCAUAGCUCUCACAUCACUAGGUACUGAGGUGAGAGCUGUGAGUAGAAUGGCAAAGUCCCCACCCUGGGGGGCUCACAUUCCAGCCAGGAGAUGCACAGGAAAUAAGGGAGCAGACAGCCCCACGGGGUGUGCUGUGAGAUGCCAGCUAUGAUGAAGCCGCUCAGGGCUGGAGCGGGUGGCUGGAGAUUAGGUGGGUCAAGGUCUUCGGGAAAACUGCAAGGCCACCUGAGCCCAGGGGACAGGUGCCUUCAGAUGAAUUAGGGGUCAGGGAGUGGGAGCAGUGGAGGAGGACCUGGGAUGUGGGAAACAGUGGGAGGAGCACAGCCUGUGGGGCUCAGGAAGGGUUUUGGGUUGCAUCUGAGUGACAGGAGAAAUGGGUUUGGAGAUAGAGUAAUGACAUGGUCAGAGCCGUGUUUUUAUAAGGAGCUUCUGAUGGUGAGCAGAGAUGGGGUCUGGGGUCAAGGACAGAAGCAGAGGGAUGAGGCACUCAGUAUCAAAGCCAGUCAAAUCAUUAGAAUGACCCUACUUGAAUUCAGUGUCUGUGAUCCUCAAUGGCUGCCCAGACUGAGCUGUGCGAGGCAGAGUGUCCCUGUUCCUUAUCUGUCCCCAUGAGUGGUCAUGGUAUUGGUGACAGCGGGAAGCAGCCAACACUUAGGGGGUACUCUUGAUGGGCUAGACCAAUGCUUCUCAACAAGGGGGAUUCUUCUCCACAGCGUACAUUCAGCAAUGUCUGGGGGCAUUGUCAUUGGCACAUUUGGGGGUUGUGCUCCUGGCAUCUAGUGGGUGCAAGCCAGGGAUGGCGCUCAGCAUCCUGCAGGGCACAAGAUGACCCCACCUCAGAGUAGUGUCUGACACAGAAAGUCCCAAGUGCUGAGGCUGAGAAAUCUUGGGCCAGAACAGGAUAAAGGCUACGUGUGCUUUGCUUCAUUUCAUCCUAGGAGAACCCUGUCAGGAAUUAUGAUUCUCAUUGUGUAGUUGGGGAAGCUGAGACAUGGAAGGCUGAGCUGUCUGACGUGACGCAGCUGGGGAGUGGCCGAGCUGGAAAUGGAGCCCAGGUCUGUCUGACUCUGGAGUCUGUGCCUUUGACUGAUGCAGAAAUUCAGAACAUCCGUGCUGAGGCGUAGCAGGGGUCCAGCAUACACGGGGGCUCAAGUGCAUAAAAAACCCUCUCUUUGUUUUGAGAUGCAAGUUCGUCAGGACCUCCAAAACAUUGCCUCCCAUCUUCCCCUCCUCCAAACUGUUCGGCGAUCCCCUUGGUUUGUUCAGCCUCCCCAGAGUCAUCAAAACAUUGACACCGCUUCCCUAUUAUUCAUCAAAAAUGCACCCUGUCACACCAGCAAGCCAGGGGUUAAGGCAUCUCAAGGUGAGGGUGGAGGAGACUGAGUUCAGCAGAGGGUGAGUGGCCCUGUGGGAGCCGUGCCCGGACAUGACAGAGGUGGGAUUCCAAAUAUGAAAAACACCUUCCUCCUGCCCCAGGCCCCUUUCUUAUGAGAAUCCAACAGGCAGCCAGUGGUCUCCAGCAUGGGGAUUCCUGGACCACGUCAUGUGGUAGGUGACCCCUGAAGGCUCACUGCACCUGCUGUAUCUAUUGGACAUGUGUGUGUGUGUUUGAGUUGAAGACUAUGUAUAGGAAUUCAAUUCAGCAGACAUGUGGAUGCUUACCACAUGCACUGCCUCCACUUGCUUUUGCCUGUGUGCACCUGCUCAUGCAACAUCUUCAUGGCAAACCCAGGGGCACAUGCACUGGGGUAGUGCAGGAUCCAACGGUGCCAUCUGCACCCAGCAGACUUUCCAGGAGAGAAGAUUGACUGAGCACUCAGCCAUCAAUGUCAGCCUGUAGUGGAAGGCUCUAGGGCAAAAUUCUUUUAUGGGCAUCGCAGAACAAGUCUUCAUUGAACACUGUGAACCAGACAAGUGGGAAGGUGGAUGAAGAGCUAAUUCACUGAAACAAGGUGAGACCCCACGGACCAACCAAAAUGUGGAAUCAAGGCUGCUACUGUAAGGACUUUCAGCUGCUUAAUCAUGUAUAUUCCUUCUCCUGUUAUAGAUGAGAUGCCCGAGAAUGUUCCCUCCCCAACUCAGAAUCCUUUGCAAAACCACCAGGAUCUUGGACAAAGAGGUCCUGCAGCCAGAAAUACGAUUCAUCCUCAACUCAUUCUUCUCUGACACCUCACACUGAAUCCAUCACAAUGCCACUCAGCUCAACCUUCAAUAUAUGUUGAGAAUUCAACCUGCCUGAUGUCUAGCCUGCAUGUGGCCUUCUGCCCUGGCCUGGAAACUGGAUUUCCUGUUCCUGCUCCUGCCCUGCCACCACCUCAUUGCCUAAAGUAGCCAGAGUGAAUCUGUUAAAAGGUAGACGGGGCUAGGGGUGGUGGCUCAUGCCUGUAAUCCUGGCACUGUGGGAGGCCAAGGCGGGCGGAUCACUUGAGGCCAGGAAUUUGAGGCCGGCCUGACUAACAUGGUGAAACCCCGUCUCUACUAAAAAUAUAAAAAUUAGCUGGGCAUGGUGGCACACACCUGUAACCCCAGCUACUUAGGAGGUUGAGGCAGGAGAAUUGCUUGAACCCAGGAGGCGGAGGUUGCAGUAAGCCAAGAUUGCACCACUGCACUCCAGCCUGAGUGACAGAGUGAGAUUCCAUCUCAAAAAAAGAGUAGACGGGAUCACCUCACUCUGCUUCUAACCCUUCAGUGGCUCUUUUCUCACUCAGCUGGACACAUGAAAAUAUAAGUGAAGGACCUUGUAAGCCAUGCCAAAGGGCAGGCUCUUGAGGCUGGAGAACUACAGGGCAAGGGGAGAUAAAAGACAAUGAGAAUAAUAAUGAAAGGAACAGGUCAUGCGGCCAGUAAGCAGGUGCUGAAGGUUCCAGCCUCGUCCCUCUGAUAUCAGAGCAUGUGCUUUAUUCAGUUCACUCUAUUGCCAGCCAGGGAAAACUUCUUAGGGCAGGGUCACCGUGCAGUGGGGCUUUGGAGGUCACAAAGGUGGGUUGGUUGUAGGGGAGAGAGAGUAGCACGGCAGAUGAAGAAAAUCUCAUUGAGUAUAUUCUAGCCUAGGAAAAGCCAACACAUCAAAAAUACAGAGAGUGGCUGGAAUAGGCAAAGGCUAGGAAUGACCUCUGGUCUUUGCUAUUUUGUGCCAGGACCUCUGCCCUCCGCCCGUGAAUGGGGUGAAGGUGAGGGACUGAGACUGUCAAUGCAAAGCUACUGUUGCUCUUAAAGAGCUUACUGUUUGGAAAACUUGCCAAAAACCUCCAAGAAGGUUCUGAACUGGUAGGUGUCAACCUUGCAACACACAGUUUGGUUCAAGGCAAGUCUUGUACAAGAGGACUCAUUGAUACCAGAGGCCAAGGCAGGAGAAUGGCAGGAGUUCAAGACUAGCCUGGGCAACAAAGUGAGACCCAGUCUCUACAAAAAUAACAAAUAAAAUAUUAGCUGGGCAUGAUGGCAUGCUUCUGUAGUUCCAGCUUCUGGAGAGGCUGAGGCAGGAGGAGCGCUUGAGCUGGGAGGCCAGGGCUACAGUGGAUGAGCUAUGAUCACAUCAUUGCACUCCAGCCUAAAUGACAGGGCAAGACCCUGUCUCAAAAAGAUAAAAUAAUUUGGAGACAAUAUCUGGCUUUCUUCAUACUUAGCCCAAGGCAACUCAAGUGUUACAUCUAAGGCCGUCUCGGAGUUCACUUGCAUCUUUUCUAUCUCCCUACUUCUGGAUUCCUUUGAAUCUAGCAUUAAGCCAGGAGUCUAGAUUAUUGAUUAUUGGUUAUUUCACUCAUUCCCACAUCUUAAUCGUAGCCUCUUAUGUGCAAGGCAGCUAGCCGUUGGGCGUUGGGAGCCAGACAAUCUCCUGAUUUUUACUGAAUUCCCCCACACUGAGAGUCCCAAUGCCAAGUCUCUGGAAUAACCCUUCUGAUGCAGUCAUCCAAAAUCUGUCUUCACAAGGGUUUCUGCAAGGCUUCCCUCUGCAGCUUCCUCACAUCUCGGCUGUAUGUUGUCUACGUGAGGGGCACAGGAGAUCGGUGAGAGGCAUCGAAAGUACCAGAGAUGCUCACUCAGAGCCUUAGAAAUGCCUAGACCGUUCCUGGUGCAUAGACAGCAUCGAUAUUUUCGCUGCUCCAUUUUUACUGCAACAAAUAUGAACAACAAUUAAAUCCAUUUUCGUGGGAUAAUUGCCUGCAACCUGAUGUCCUUGUAAGACACAUUCUGCAACUUCAGUCAUGUGGAUUACACAGCACUAUUUAAAACCUUCCCAUUACCAGAUAAGGUGGAGGGAAGGAGGAAAGAGCCAAUCCAUGGCCAAGUCCAUUCCUAGAUUGUCCAGCCUUUUGUGUCUGUUAUUAAGCCCUUCAAAAGUACACUGCUUCCCUGGAGAGAAAAUAUAUUUACAUAGUUCCCAAUCACUCCACCAGAGCAGCAGUGGCCUCAAGAUAAACCUCCCAGCACCAGGGAAGAGGGGAUUACACACACCACAACGAAGUCCAAUUAUAUUGAAAACUAACAGCUAAAUUUCUCUGCCCCUGCAGUUCCUAGAGUGUGAAGAGAGAAGGAACAAACGGAAGAAAAAAAUUGUUGUAGCGCCUUAAUGAUGAGUGUGUGAGAAGCAGCCAGUUCCCUGUUCCUGCCGUUCAUUUUCUGUGUAUCGGUCCCUAACGAGGAUUGGCAAGAUCUGGAGAUUGUCCUGGUCCCUCCUCGUGCCCUCUUUCCCUUAUUCAAAGCACUGUGAGCCUCUCUUGCUUGGUUCCAGUUGCCUUGGAAUGUGUUUUGGAAGAAAUGUCCUGGAUAGUCUCCAGGCUUCUUUAUAUUCUUUCUUUUUAGUAAUUAACUUUGUAUUGAGUUCUCCCACCAAAAUGAACAGCCAGGCCUUCCUUCCAGAUAGAAAUUGUGGCAAGAAACAAAUGGGAGUUGAAAUAAAUAACAUCGUGUUGCUUGAUAAAUGUAUUUGCAGUAGCAACAGAGACUGCCACCCAAGGAGUUCUAAUUACGAAUCUGACCCUGUAGAGCCAAUGCCACAGUUGCUACAGAAAAUAAAUAGGCUAAGCAGGGCCUGGGGUUGGUUAUUUCCAUAGACUUGUCCUGGAAAUGUUAAUCAAAGCAAACCAGAGGGAGCAGGGAGCCAGGGUUAUUCUGAUAGUGCUAAAAAAAUUAAGUUCCCGGCCGAGCGUGGUGGCUCACACCUGUAAUCCCAGCACUUUGGGAGGCCGAGGUGGGCAGAUCACGAGGUCAAGAGAUUGAGACCAUCUUGGCCAACAUGGUGAAACCCCGUCUCUACUAAAAAUACAAAGACUAGCUGGCAUGGUGGUGAGCGCCUGUAGUCCCAGCUACUUGAGAGGCUGAGGCAGGAGAAUUGCUUGAACCCAGAAAGCUGAGGUUGCAGUGAACAGAGACUGCACCACUGCACUCCAGCCUGGCGACACAGUGAGACUCCGUCUCAAAAAUCAAGUUUCUGUUAGCCCUUUGCAAUCUGGUCAUAGUUCUUUCUCUCUUCCUCCCUCACUCUUUCUUUAUGGAAACUAUGCCUACCUGUGUAUUUUCUUUGUGAAAUAUGAUUUCACACUUUAGCUUAUAAAAGAGGUUUUGCCAGGUGUGAUCGCUCACGCCUGUAAUUCCAGCACUUUGGGAGGCUGAGGAGGGUAGAUAACUUGAGGCCAGGAGUUGGAGAUCAGCCUGGGCAGCAUGGCAAAACCCUGUCUUUACUAAAAAUACAAAAAUUAGCCGGGCAUGGUGGCGGGCACCUGUAGUCCCAGAUACUCAGGAGGCUAAAGCAGGAGAAUCACAUGAACCUGCGAGGCGGAGGUUGCAGUGAGCUGAGAUCACACCAUUGCACUCCAGCCUGGGCGACAGAGUGAGACUCUCUUCUCAAAAUAAAUAAAAGGGGUU